rnacentral:tRNA from 1 species
CAUUGAUAAUUAGUUUAAACCAAAAUAAAUGAUUUCGACUCAUUAGAUUAUGUAUUUUCAUAAUUAUCAU